CGGAUUUUCGCAGGCACCUCCCAUGAUCUCCCUUCCACGAUUAUCAUCCCCCUGGAAAGAGGGUUGACGGGAUUCUGGGGCGAGUCGAGAGUAAUUUCACGAUGACAACUGAAAGAGCGGGCGGCAGUCUGAUGAUGGAAAUCUGUGCCAACCUUAAUCCUAAUCCACACGUUAAUCGUAGCUGGAUCCGAAGAACCGGACCUAUAAUAGUCACUGGAAUAUACAUAUGUAUAUGGAAACAUACGGGGCUGUGAGCGCGACAUAAAAGGACAUAUGGGUCUUACCCAAAACCGAGGACCUACAUCAAGGUGUGUACCUACGAGGAUCAGGAUUAUCCUUCACGCAGGAUUACCGAAUAUUUUGUGUAUAGCCGCUACAGGAUUUGGUGUUUGCAUUUUGUGCACGCCUGCAUACGCCAUUGCCGAAAAAUGGUGGGAACUUGCAUGUCCGUCAUUCUUAGGAAUUAUUUAUCUCUGAAUUUCGAAUUCCUGCACGAGACGAGGCCGUCGGAGGAUCAUCCGACGGUGGCUGCCCGUGUGUCUUCAUUCUCCCAGGGUGGAAGGACUUCCUGCUCCAACGUACUAACUGCAUUUGAAUUAUCUACAUGAAACUUGGUUUAAAUAUUUCAAAAAUUGAUGUACACGGUGCAUUACAAAUGCCAUUGAAUUAAAUUAUUGGUUAUGAUUAGGAUAGAUAUUGAAAAAUGGCAAGCUGAGUACUUUUUUUACUUAUGAUAAAUCUUCACUGUCGAAAUAGAGAAAUCGGUUCAUUGUCAUGGUAAAAAGUAACUUCACGGGAGGUAAGAACGAGGAUUAUAGUUUUCCGGCAAUCAUGAAGAGAAUCCUGACGCUAAUGCGGCGACAAUACAGAUGUUUUCACGUCUAAGCAGCGUGCUAAGUGGAUGUCCCAGGAUAGUUCAGAGUAUACCUGGCCCUCCUGGUAGACCUGUCUGAAAUGUUCACCAACUUAUUAGUUUACGUUACACUUGACUGGACGCCUUUUUGCCUUGAGAAUAAUCAAAGAACCUCUGAAGAUGACCGAAAGCCAACCGAAAUUGAUCCUUACGAAUUAUCCUGCGUGAAUUCUAGGCUUCCGCUUGCUCGCUGUUUCUUUAACAAUAUCUCGCAUUACUUCUAUCUUUCUUUUUUUUGUGUCUUCGACUCUGUCGUGAUUCCUACUCGCCGCGGGACGCCAUUUCGGCACGCAGAAUCGAAACUCAAAAAGCUACUGGCUUAGGUCUCUGCUG